UUAACUCAUAUUUGUAUGGAGUUGGAACGUUUGCCGCUAGGGGCGCUGUUCCAACUGCAUACAAAUUUAAGAUA
rnacentral:pre_miRNA from 1 species